UACAGAGGGUGCGAGCGUUAAUCGGAAUUACUGGGCGUAAAGCGUGCGUAGACGGUUAUCUAAGUCGGGUGUGAAAGCCCCGGGCUCAACCUGGGAAUUGCAUUCGAGACUGAAUAGCUAGGGUACGGUAGAGGGAAGCGGAAUUUCCGGUGUAGCGGUGAAAUGCGUAGAUAUCGGAAGGAACAUCAGUGGCGAAAGCGACUUCCUGGACCAAUACUGACGCUCAUGUGCGAAAGCGUGGGGAGCAAACAGG
rnacentral:rRNA from 1 species